GUGAGUCAUCGAAUCUUUGAACGCAAAUGGCACUGUCGGGUAACCGGCAGUACGUUUCUUUCAGCGUCGUUUCAACAACACUCAGGCUGCGCCUUUUUAAGGCAAAAGCUUGGACAUUGAGUGUCACAAUUCGAAAGGACUGUGUCACUUUAAAACUAGCGGAAAGACAUGUGCUUUAGCACACUGCACCAAUUACUUGGCAGUGACGUGGAUAAUUUCACUUAUGUGAAUCUUUACGUGACUGUUUUCAAAGAACAGUGUAUGUGCGGCUUGGCGCAACAGUUCGUUCCGAUAUUGAGG
rnacentral:misc_RNA from 1 species